AUUUCUUAUGCUAUACUAUUUAUGCAUUCUGGCCUUUUACAAACUGUUUUUUUUUUUUUUUUCCAAUAGGACUUCUACUGUCAAGGUCCUUCAAUAAGACUUCUUCUGUGCUAAGUAGAAGCGUCUCGGAGAAUGAAACCAAACCAGACACCGAGAUAUAUAUGUGUGAAAGAAAGACAUUUUCAGGUUUUCCCCUUGUGUUGAUAGAAGAGGAAUCCAGGCAACAUCUUUCACACCCAGACUAGUUUGCAAAUGGAAGGCUUAAGAGCUUGCUUGCUCAAAACGACUGGUACUCUGUAACUCUUCAGGAACACCUCUAUGACUUCUCACAUAGCUACUCCAGAUCAACUUCAACCACUGCAGCACGUCUCAAACUGAAACCUGUACUCU
rnacentral:lncRNA from 1 species